UACGUAGGGGCUAAGGCGUUGUCCGGAAUCAUUGGGCGUAAAGCGCGUGUAGGCGGUCCGGUAAGUCCGGUGUGAAAGUCACAGGCUCAAACCUGUGAAUGCCGCUGGAAACUGUCUGGCUAGAAGUCCGGGAGGGCGAGUGGAAUUCCUGUGUAGGCGGGUGUAAAUGCGCAGAGUAAUCCAGGAGGAACACCAAUGGCGAAGGCAGCUCGCUGGAACGGUACUGACGCUGAGGCGACGAAGACGUGGGGAGCAAACAGG
rnacentral:rRNA from 1 species